GGUUAAAAAGCUCGUAGUUGGAUCUCGGCAAGUAGAGGGCGGUAUGCUUCGUAGACAUUACUGCCCUAUUACUUGUAGUUUUGCCAGAGGUUCCUGGGUGCUCUUAAUCGAGUGUCUAGGGAUGCUGGCAGGUUUACUUUGAAAAAAUUAGAGUGCUCAAAGCAGGCUAUUACGCUUGAAUAUUCGUGCAUGGAAUAAUAGAAUAGGAAGUUGUUUCUAUUUUGUUGGUUUUCGGAAAUCGACUUAAUGAUUAAUAGGGACAGUCGGGGGCAUUUGUAUUCAAACGACAGAGGUGAAAUUCUUGGACCGUUUGAAGACAAACUACUGCGAAAGCAUUUGCCAAGAAUGUUUUCAUUAAUCAAGAACGAAAGUUAGAGGUUCGAAGGCGAUUAGAUACCGCCCUAGUUCUAACCGUAAACGAUGCCAGCUAGCGAUCUGAGGACGUUUUUUUUGUAGACUCCUCAGGAAGCUUCCGGGAAACCAAAGCGUGUGGGUUCCCGGGGGAAAUAUGGU
rnacentral:rRNA from 1 species